UAUGAAUGGUGUCACGAAGGUCUCACUGUCUUAAGGAAAUUUCCAGUGAAAUUGAAUUUGUAGUGAAGAUGCUACAUCCAAAUUGUUAGACAAGAAGACCCCAUGAAACUUUACUGGAAACUUAUGUGGCUGACUUAAAUAGUUUAAAAAUGUGGUGGGGGUCAACUAAGGCUAGAAAAGCGCACUUUUUUAUUUGAAGAAAGGCAACUCACGAACUUAUGUUUUUGGGGUUUGAUAAGUGGGACAGUUUGGUUGGGGCGACCGCCUUUAAAAAAGUAACGAAGGCGGGCUUAAGAUACAUAUUUAAUUGUGUCUGACUGCCAGGGGGAGACCCAGAGCAGACACUUAUCUUUGGACGGUGGGUUUAAGUGACCCGUUAAUUUAGGGUGAAAUAGUUAACGAUAAACAGAUAAAAG
rnacentral:rRNA from 1 species